CAGAAACAGAUUCUCAGCCACAGUUCAGCCAUCAGCUGCUUCCUUGCCACCACCUUUUCCUCUACUGCUGCCUCAAGUCCUCCCAUCAACCCACACGGUUUAACAUCUCCUUUUCUGGAAAAAUUGGGCCAGGGAUUUAAAAAAGCAGCAUUGGAGCCCUGUACGCUUGCUUAUGGCCCAAAAUCUCCAGAGCAGUUAAGAUGCCAAGUGAGUCCAGGCAGUUUGGGCACCAUUUGUUUGUAGGUACAUGUCAGAUUGCAGCUAAGCUUCAUUGAGGGAAAGGAAAGGGUACAGCAGCUUUCUCUGAUAACCACUGCGUGACAGCCUCAGUUUGCUCAGCGUUGCCCUUCCCUUGGUGCAGUGCAUAAGGACAGCUAAUGCUUUAGAUCUACACAGGCAAGGGUUCUGCCACAUAGGACACCAAGA